GCCGCGAUGGCACAACCUGGUACUGCGUAGGAUCGCUAAAAAAGCGCAUGUUUGAUAUUGCUCAGCAUAAAGAUGAAAACAUGAUCCUGCAAAGAUCCUAUUUCCGAAAGGAUAUCCGGGUUCAAAUCCCGGUCUCGGCG
rnacentral:tRNA from 1 species